UCAAGUGACUGUCGAUUGGAAGUAUGGCUGUCACUUCUUUUGUGAUAAAUCUUUGUUUGCAUACCCACAACUAAUCUUAACGUUUCAUACGCAGAACAAGGCAGGUGAGACGGGUGAGGUCUGUAUCGUCAGUUAACAGUUCAGUUUGGAAAGACACAGACUCAGUGAUCUGGCCACGGAAAAAGGAACCCAGCUACACCAAGAAAAGGCAUGGAAUGGAUCAAGCAACUCAUCGUCUGUUCAUGUCUGGUGUUGAAAGUUUUCUCAACAAGUGCUCCUUGCACCAACUGUGACCGUAACAACGUGACCUGUGUUGACGGUGUGUGUCCACCUCGCUGUGUCAAUGUGACGUCAUCUGGAGAGUGUCUCCAGUGUCUGGACUCCAGGUUCUAUGGUAAACAGUGUCAACAUGACUGUCCAGACACCUGUCUCAACUCUCGUUGUCAGAUGAACAACACCCGUGUUGUGUGUACAGAGGGAUGUGUGGCCGGCAAGAAGGGAGAUAACUGUGGAGUGAACUGUCCUACAGCCUGUACACAGUGUGAACGUUAUGGUGAUGGUUGUACAGGACCGUGUCAGAAUCCCCAGUAUUACGGUCAACACUGUAGAACACCUUGUCCCUCCAUCUGUACAGGUGGAUGUAAUAGGAUCACAGGGGAGUGUGACAGCUGUGAGCCAGGUUACACAGGGGACAAGUGUGAUGUUACCUGUCCCCCCAACUGUACAGGUGGAUGUGAUAAAGACACAGGGGAGUGUGGCAGCUGUGAGCCAGGUUACACAGGGGACAAGUGUGAUGUUACCUGUCCCCCCAACUGUAGAGGUGGAUGUGAUAAACACACAGGGGUGUGUGACAGCUGUGAGCCAGGUUACAGAGGAAAGAAUUGUAAUGACACCUGUCCCCCGAGCUGUAGAGAUGGAUGUGACAAGGAGAUAGGACAGUGCAAGAGAUGUAAUCCAGGGAACAGUGGCAAGUACUGCAAUACUUCCUGUCCUGAUACUUGUAGGGAAGAAUGUACUGAAGAUGGAAAGUGCCAAUCGCCAGUUACAGCCAAAAGUCUCGGUGUAAUACUGGUUGUGAUGGCUGUGUGCUUGUGCCUGGCUCUUGUUGGACUUAUCGUAUGGAGAAGAAGGCGAAGACGGAAAUUGAAACUAAAGGCUGACACCCCUGUCCUUGCUCCUUUCAUUCCAAUGUCUGAGCGUAAUGAUGACACCGUCAGUGACAUGUCCGACGCCGACAACCCCUUGUACGAACACGCCGGCGGCCCGAAGUGUGUUCCUCAAAUACGUAUGUGUCCGGAACUGCAAGGGGAAGAAUCAGUCAGUUACAUGGCGGAGGAGUUCAAGAAAUUACCUACGCCAAUCGCCAGUUCAUCUCACUGUGGACUUUUGACUGAGAAUGUCUUCAAAAACAGAUAUAGGGACAUUCUACCAUUUGACACCACACGAGUGUGUCUGGAGGUGGAGGACGAGGGCGGAAGUGAUUAUAUCAACGCUUCCUACAUUGAUGGUUACAAACAAGAAACGCAAUUCAUUGCAACACAAGGUCCUUCCAGCCACGCGGUGUUGGACUUUUGGAGAAUGAUCUGGCAAGCUGAUGUAAACAAGAUUGUAAUGUUGACCAACCUCUUCGAGGCAGGAUUUUCAAAGUGUGACCAGUACUGGCCGUGCUGCGGCGUCGAGUCCAAGACAUAUGGAUACAUAUCGGUUCAGUGUAUAGAGGAGAGAGUGUUCAAGCAUUACACGACAAGACGCUUAGCGAUAUGGAAAUCCAACUCUCCAACGAGGGUGAUCCAUCACCUGCACUAUACAUCCUGGCCGGCCUACGGUGUCCCGGAUGAAGUGACGUCACUCAUUGACUUCUACAAAGUGGUCAGGAACACGGACACAGACGGGGGAGGCACCACAGUGGUCCACUGCAGUGCUGGGGUUGGGCGAACUGGAACCUUCCUGGCCCUAGUUUAUCUGAUUGAACAGUCCAGGGAGGAACAUCGAGUAUGUGUGUUCUCCUGUGUCCAGGGAUUCCGCAUGCAGAGGAUGAACAUGGUCCACACAGAGGAACAGUACAUUCUACUGUACCACGCCCUGAUCGAGGCCCUGAAGACCCGGGGGAUACUGCCUGACAACUGUAGACCUGUGUGGCUCCAGUGUCAGCGCUGCUGGGAGAACUUCAAGCGGCAUCCUGUAUGUAAUGGUGUGCUGAUGUGCUGAUGUGCUGAUGAGAUGUUGAGAAGGCGCACAAGGGUUCGCGAAAGAAGUAAUUACCCGAGUUGAGCUAUUCCUUUCUUCAUGUUUGAGUAUCUGUCGUGCAGGGCGAAGAGAUGUUGCUGUCAAUGAUGUAUAUUAGUCUCUUGCUGCCGCACCACAUACCUUACCCGAAGCAACACUUCAGAAUACCCAAGUGGCCAAUCAGCCUGAUUUUUUCUGAGGAGUAUCCGACAUUCGCCAUGCUAUGUAUAACUCUCUGUACAUUCCUUCAUAGUCUACGCUAGUGCUGUAACGUCUAAGCCCACAUGUACGGGCGAGUAGGAAAUUUAUAUUGAUGAGUGAAUAAAUGUUUUUAAAGCCGCAUUCAGCAAUAUUCCAGUUGCAUCACAGCGGCCUGUAAAUAUCUGACUAUGGAACAGGCAAACGUGUUAUUGCAAACACGGCCAAUACUGCGAAUUGAGACCGGUCAGACUUGUAUAUAACUCUUCCCCAAACAAUAUAUUUACUGUAACCUGUUGAUAACAUGUGGUAAUUAUACACCGAUAUUGUUGCAUCCAUAGAUUUGCUGUAACCUUUAUGUGUAGCAACUUUAACAUCUUCCUUACUGAUGUACAUGUAGAUGUGUGAUAUUGUUUUGAUACCUCGUUUGAUUAAAUACAAGUCGGUACAGAAAUAUGUUGCAUCCAAAGUGAAAUUUGCAAUGAAUUCUAAGUGAAGUAACGAUAUUGCAAGAAAAGUUCAAUGUCAUACAAUAAUACAUGUUCGCUACGAAUGUAUAAUCGAUGCAAUGGUAUUUGAAAGGUCAGGGGAUCUUGAUACACAUAUAUUACUGGCCUGUAUAAAUAUCUGUAUAUGCAGCGAAUGAAUAAAAAUUAUAUACGCCCCUGGA
rnacentral:misc_RNA from 1 species